ACCCGGCCCACUAUUCUUAUUCACCUAAAAGACCUAAUGAAAGAAAACAAAGAUGAGUCGCAGUCGUCUCUUUCGCUCCUUUCCCCUUUCAACAAAGAACGAUAUUUCUUUAGCCAUGACAGAUCCCUGUUUCCCUCAUUUUCGUGUAAAUGCUUUCCCUUCUUGUUUUCAACGCUCGGGUCAACAUAAAUGGCCAAAAACCCUUCUGAAAUUUCUGAAAAGGGAGCAGCUUUAAGGAUUCGAUUUUGAUUUUCAAAUGGCGAAUUCAUGUGGAAAUCCCGCCUAAAAAUUUUCGUAUAAACCCUAUUUCUCACUCUAUAAAUUGGGAUAAGCUUACACCUUGAAGGGGAGCCCUUUUUUUCGAGAGGUUUCACUCAGCGUUUCUGAGAUACUCAACUAUUUUCCAAACUUCUUUUCCUUUUCCGGUGAACUUUAACCGCGACAAGGAUAUUCGACUCACCCAACUCUAGUUUCGAAUUCGUUCUUGAGGAGAGGAGUUAGAUUCGAGGCUCCGACAUCCCCAUUUCACUGCACCCACAAAAACCGGAGAGUUUCGUUCUGAGACUCGACCACACUGCCAACCACACGAGAUCAGAAUCCAUGGCAUUCCCAGAAAAUAUUGUUCAGUUGUCACUAGACAAAAUUACAGUGGACUUCGUUUACUAUUCAUAUCUGAUACCUGUUUGUAGUUGAAUGUCUAACUGCUUAUAUGUGGGAUUAUUUUCUUUAUCUUCUUGGGUAUAGUCUGGUCGUUACAAAUGGGGUAUUAGCCCUUAACACAGCCAAGUGACUAUAGGUAGUAUAAGUUUGGGGUUCUAUUUGUUCCUAAAUACGAAUCCUAUGGGUUUGGUAUCUUAUUUAAUGGGUUUGAUGCUUAAAAAAUAUAGAUCACCUCAAGUCACUUUUGAUGCUAUAGUACAUUUUGAGUCAAAA